rnacentral:rRNA from 1 species
UACGUAGGGGGCAAGCGUUGUCCGGAUUUAUUGGGCGUAAAGAGCGUGUAGGCGGCCAUACAGGUCAGCUGUGAAAACUCGAGGCUCAACCUCGAGACGUCGGUUGAAACCGUAUGGCUAGAGUCCGGAAGAGGAGAGUGGAAUUCCCGGUGUAGCGGUGAAAUGCGCAGAUAUCGGGAAGAACACCCGUGGCGAAGGCGGCUCUCUGGGACGGUACUGACGCUGAGAACGCGAAAGCGUGGGGAGCGAACAGG